rnacentral:rRNA from 1 species
GACGAACGCUGGCGGCGUGCUUAACACAUGCAAGUCGAACGGAAAGGCCCCUUUAGGGGUACUCGAGUGGCGAACGGGUGAGUAACACGUGAGUAACCUGCCCUUGACUUCGGGAUAACUUCAGGAAACUGGGGCUAAUACCGGAUAGGAAUCCUUGCUGCAUGGUGGGGGUUGGAAAGCUUCGGCGGUUUUGGAUGGACUCGCGGCUUAUCAGCUUGUUGGUGGGGUAGUGGCUUACCAAGGCUUUGACGGGUAGCCGGCCUGAGAGGGCGACCGGCCACAUUGGGACUGAGAUACGGCCCAGACUCCUACGGGAGGCAGCAGUGGGGAAUAUUGCACAAUGGGCGGAAGCCUGAUGCAGCAACGCCGCGUGCGGGAUGACGGCCUUCGGGUUGUAAACCGCUUUCAGCAGGGGCGAAGCUUGUGGUGACGGUACCUGCAGAAGAAGCACCGGCUAACUACGUG